AUUGAACGCUGGCGGCAGGCCUAACACAUGCAAGUCGAACGAUCCUUCGGGAUAGUGGCGGACGGGUGAGUAACACGUGGGAACGUGCCCUUUGGUUCGGAACAACUCAGGGAAACUUGAGCUAAUACCGAAUGUGCCCUUCGGGGGAAAGAUUUAUCGCCAUUGGAGCGGCCCGCGUAGGAUUAGCUAGUUGGUGGGGUAAUGGCCCACCAAGGCUCCGAUCCUUAGCUGGUCUGAGAGGAUGAUCAGCCACACUGGGACUGAGACACGGCCGAGACUCCUACGGGAGGCAGCAGUGGGGAAUCUUGCGCAAUGGGCGAAGGCCUGACGCAGCCAUGCCGCGUGAAUGAUGAAGGUCUUAGGAUUGUAAAAUUCUUUCACCGGGGACGAUAAUGACGGUACCCGGAGAAGAAGCCCCGGCUAACUUCGUGCCAGCAGCCGCAGUAAAAC
rnacentral:rRNA from 1 species